rnacentral:rRNA from 1 species
GUGGGGAAUAUUGCACAAUGGGCGCAAGCCUGAUGCAGCAACGCCGCGUGAGGGACGACGGCCUUCGGGUUGUAAACCUCUUUUAGCAGGGAAGAAGCGAAAGUGACGGUACCUGCAGAAAAAGCACCGGCUAACUACGUGCCAGCAGCCGCGGUAAUACGUAGGGUGCAAGCGUUGUCCGGAAUUAUUGGGCGUAAAGAGCUCGUAGGCGGUUUGUCGCGUCUGCUGUGAAAACCCGAGGCUCAACCUCGGGCCUGCAGUGGGUACGGGCAGACUAGAGUGCGGUAGGGGAGAUUGGAAUUCCUGGUGUAGCGGUGGAAUGCGCAGAUAUCAUGAGGAACACCGAUGGCGAAGGCAGAUCUCUGGGCCGUAACUGACGCUGAGGAGCGAAAGCGUGGGGAGCGAACAGGAUUAGAUACCCUGGUAGUCC